rnacentral:misc_RNA from 1 species
UCAAACUUGGUCAUUUAGAGGAAGUAAAAGUCAUAACAAGGUUUCUGUAGGUGAACCUGCAGAAGGAUCAUUAGAGAAUUUUUAGGGAUUGAUUUCGAUCUUCCCGAACCUUUUUUUCUUAUCCUAAACACCUGUGCAUCGUGGAGUGUGUAGUACUAUACACUCCACAAUUCUUAUCACACAAACUCUAUGUUUUUUUUGAACGUAAAACAAGUGUUAAUUUUAUUUAACCAAAUAACAAAUUAAUAACUUUUGACAACGGAUCUCUUGGUUCUCCCAUCGAUGAAGAACGCAGC